GCCAGUGUGCCAUAGAGGUUUGAGUGCUGGGCUACCACUCUGGAGACCAGGGUUCGAUUCCCAACUUGGCCA